GCUCUCAUGGUCUAGUAGAAUGAUACGUGCUUUGGGUGUUUCCUGAAAUGCACGGGGUCCCGGGUUCAAAUCCCGGUGAGGGUC